rnacentral:misc_RNA from 1 species
UUGAUCCUCGAGGACGCUAGCGCCGACGGAGCGGCUCUCCUUGGCGAGUGGAUUGGAGGCCACAGAACACCUCUGCUCCUCGAGGACAGUGUCGGCGGUGGAGCGGCUCUCCGUUCUCUCACGAGGCGGAUACGCGCCUCCAUCUUGGCGUCCCUGGCCUCCACCUCGAGCGCAUGGAAGGCAACGUCGAGCACCGAGCGGGAGUGCUUCCUGGCCGCGGCGGUGUCGGUGACGCGGCGCUCCGUUCCUCCGGUGAGCGGCGACCCUGUCGCGGGUAAUGGACGCGAGCUAUGGCGAGAUGUGGUGGCACGUAGGGGUCCGAUGAGGCGAAUGCGGCAUCGAGAGGUGGUGGCACAGUCGGCUGAGGCGAAUGCGACGGCGAGCGUGAGGGAGGCGUGA